rnacentral:tRNA from 1 species
GCUGGUGUGGCUCAGUGGUUGAGCCUCGAGCUAUGAACCAGGGGGUCCCGGGUUCGAAUCCCGGUCAAGGGCA